GAUGAACGCUGGCGGCAUGCCUUACACAUGCAAGUCGAACGGCAAGAUGACGUACUUGCCUCGCUUGCGUGCGCGGGGCGCGGGUGUGAAACAUGCGUAUGAACUACCUUUUUGAUUGGGAAAAACGCGGGAAACGGGAGCCUAUUACGGCAAAUUUUCUGAAGCGGAAGGCUGGAUAGUUACAGGCGGUUUUCCUGACAAUUGUCGAUUGUUGUGUGCGGCAUUGGCUAGUUGGUAAGGUAACGGCUUACAAAGGCAACGAUGCGUAGCGGACCUGAGAGGAUGAUCGGCCACACUGGAACUGAGACACGGCCCAGACUCCUACGGGAGGCAGCAGUGGGGAAUUUUCGGCAAUGGGCGCAAGCCUGACGCAGCCAUGCCGCGUGAGUGAAGAAGGCCUUCGGGUCGUAAAGCUCUGUUGGCUGGGAAGAAAACGUGUCUUCUAAUACAGGGUGUGCAUGACGGUACCAGAACAAGAAGCACCGGCUAACUACGUG
rnacentral:rRNA from 1 species